GACAUUACAAAGGAGCUCUGUGUCAGAAACUAGGGUUAAAGAACAAAUACAGAACAAAGAUUCCUCUAGCACCCCUACUGCAAGGAUUUUAAGAACUAUAUUUCAGGAUAAAGACCUGAGGGUCACAAGAUGUACAUCACCGGCCCCAGCUGGAUUUUCCCAGGGUCAGGUGCCCAUUCCUACAUGAUCAAAGGACACUUCUGCUGACCUGCACCUAGAAUGCCCUCUUCUGUGCCGAUGCCUCAGAUGUAAGAAUGAUGAAGUGCAUGGGUUGAAAUGCAGAGAACAAUGAGAAAAAGAACUGAGUUGUGGGAAGACGUGAGGAAAGGAUGUGAGGCUCUUAAUAACAGCUGCCAAGUACUGCAGUCGGGAAUCCGGAGCAAAGCGAUUCAUUCUGACCACUGCCUAUAAGUAAACGGGAUUUUAUUUUUCAAUACUUUUGUUUAAUAGUACCUCCUUCAUUACAUGUGAACAGCAUUCCAGGAUAGUAAAUCAUGAAAUGGGAAUAAAGUCUGUAAUUUUAAUUAACAUAUUUUAAAAUGUUUCUAAUUUGUAUGCAUUUGAUCUAAUUUUCAUUUGCAUUGAGCGAUUUUUUUCUUUCUCAUAUAAUGUUUGACAUUACCAUUUCUUUCUUUAAUGAAAUACUAAUAUUUAAUAAAAUAUUUUACA